CAGUAGCCACGGUAAUACGAAGGGUGCAAGCGUUAAUCGGAAUUACUGGGCGUAAAGCGUGCGUAGGCGGAUCGAUCAGUCAGGGGUGAAAUCCCAGAGCUCAACUCUGGAACUGCCCUUGAUACUGUCGAUCUGGAGUAUGGAAGAGGUGAGUGGAAUUCCGAGUGUAGAGGUAAAAUUCGUAGAUAUUCGGAGGAACACCAGUGGCGAAGGCGGCUCACUGGUCCAUUACUGACGCUGAGGUGCGAAAGCGUGGGGAGCAAACAGGAUUAGAUACCCCAGUAGUCCCUGUCUCUUAUAC
rnacentral:rRNA from 1 species